CCGGCCCGGCUGGGGCUCCGCGUCCGCGCGGCCGCCUCACCACAGCUUCCUCUUGAGCGGCAGGAGGCUGCCGCGGUUGGAGGGGGUGACGCCGAUGGCCAUCUGCAGCACCGUCAGAAACAUUCAGAAUAAUGUCUGACCCCCCAUGUAGGUUUGAAAAGGAAUGAAGAGGAAAGAGAGUGGUGGAGAUCAGGGCAAUACAAGCUUCCUACUAUCAUCGCCUCGAUUUGGCAUCGUGAUGGUGGUCCCAGCCAAUAAAACGCUGAGGUAGACUUGACUUUCCUCUGUGACAUCUUCCUCCUACCACAUCAAAGCCCUGAGGCCAAGCAGGUCCAGCCGGUGGAUGGAAGGACUCCCUUCAUCUCCACUGUAAGAGAUGGUUUCAGCUAUAAGGCAUACCGGGACUAUUCCAACAGCGGCUGAAAGAAUUCACCGAAUCCACAAAGCAUGGAUUCCAAGCCUAGCCUCUUGCCAAAGAGGGAAUGUAACUGCUGUUGGCCCCAGGCAAUAAACCCCU